AAGUCGAGGGGCAGCACGAUCUUCGGAUUGGUGGCGACCGGCGCACGGGUGCGUAACGCGCAUAGAACUUACCUUUUACAGAGGGAUAGCCCAGAGAAAUUUGGAUUAAUACCUCAUAGUAUUAUAGAUUGGCAUCGACUUAUAAUUAAACAUUUAUGGGUAAGAGAUGGCUAUGCGUCCUAUUAGUUAGUUGGUAAGGUAACGGCUUACCAAGACAGCGAUAGGUAGGGGUCCUGAGAGGGACGACCCCCCACACUGGUACUGAGACACGGACCAGACUCC
rnacentral:rRNA from 1 species